rnacentral:rRNA from 1 species
AGCGAACGGGUGAGUAACGCGUGGGGAAUCUGCCUUUGAGCGGGGGACAACAUUUGGAAACGAAUGCUAAUACCGCAUAAAAACUUUAAACACAAGUUUUAAGUUUGAAAGAUGCAAUUGCAUCACUCAAAGAUGAUCCCGCGUUGUAUUAGCUAGUUGGUGAGGUAAAGGCUCACCAAGGCGAUGAUACAUAGCCGACCUGAGAGGGUGAUCGGCCACAUUGGGACUGAGACACGGCCCAAACUCCUACGGGAGGCAGCAGUAGGGAAUCUUCGGCAAUGGACGAAAGUCUGACCGAGCAACGCCGCGUGAGUGAAGAAGGUUUUCGGAUCGUAAAACUCUGUUGGUAGAGAAGAACGUUGGUGAGAGUGGAAAGCUCAUCAAGUGACGGUAACUACCCAGAAAGGGACGGCUAACUACGUGCCAGCAGCCGCGGUAAUACGUAGGUCCCGAGCGUUGUCCGGAUUUAUUGGGCGUAAAGCGAGCGCAGGUGGUUUAUUAAGUCUGGUGUAAAAGGCAGUGGCUCAACCAUUGUAUGCAUUGGAAACUGGUAGACUUGAGUGCAGGAGAGGAGAGUGGAAUUCCAUGUGUAGCGGUGAAAUGCAUAGAUAUAUGGAGGAACACCGGUGGCGAAAGCGGCUCUCUGGCCUGUAACUGACACUGAGGCUCGAAAGCGUGGGGAGCAAACAGGAUUAGAUACCCUGGUAGUCCACGCCGUAAACGAUGAGUGCUAGAUGUAGGGAGCUAUAAGUUCUCUGUAUCGCAGCUAACGCAAUAAGCACUCUCGCCCUGGGGAGUACGACCGCACAGGUUGAAACUCAAAAGGAAUUGACGGGGGCCCGCACAAGCGGUGGAG